CCUGGCUGGGCGCCCAGGAUGGACCCGCCUCUCCUGUAUUCAAGAGUGAUUCAACAAAGGAACAAACGUUCUGGUCUGCUUCAGUAAAGGGUUCACCAGGACGAUUCCGGUUAUAAUAAAUCAAAAAGCGGAAGAACGAAGGCGAUCAUAGCCACAGAUGAAGAGACGCCUGUAUGACAGAGCCAGGAUAGCACAUCUCCUUACUCACAAGCCCGUCAAUAACCUGUUGCUGGAAACUGCUGUCAGCAAAGUGCGUCUCCCACACCCACAGUUCCCACUCACUGAGUGCACAAAUGCCAGUGAAGGUGGGAAAAACAAAUCAAUCAUCUCAAUCAC